AUUGAACGCUGGCGGCAGGCCUAACACAUGCAAGUCGAGCGGGGUUUUCGGACCUAGCGGCGGACGGGUGAGUAAUGCGUAGGAAGCUACCCGAUAGAGGGGGAUACCAGUUGGAAACGACUGUUAAUACCGCAUAAUGUCUACGGACCAAAGUGUGGGACCUUCGGGCCACAUGCUAUCGGAUGCGCCUACGUGGGAUUAGCUAGUUGGUGAGGUAAUGGCUCACUAAGGCGACGAUCUCUAGCUGGUUUGAGAGGAUGAUCAGCCACACUGGAACUGAGACACGGUCCAGACUCCUACGGGAGGCAGCAGUGGGGAAUAUUGGACAAUGGGCGCAAGCCUGAUCCAGCCAUGCCGCGUGUGUGAAGAAGGCCUCGGUUGUAAGCACUUCUAGCGAGGAGG
rnacentral:rRNA from 1 species